UGGCCAUAUUCUAUUGAAACACUGGUCCUCAUAUGAUCACCGAAGUUAAGCAAUGUUGAACCUGAUCACUACCUAGAUGGGUGACCACUUGGUAAUACCAGGUAUC